rnacentral:rRNA from 1 species
AGCCCCCUAAACACAAAUAAUUAUAAAAACAAAAUUAUUCGCCAGAGUACUACCGGCAACAGCCCGAAACUCAAAGGACUUGGCGGUGCUUUAUACCCUUCUAGAGGAGCCUGUUCUAUAAUCGAUAAACCCCGAUAAACCUCACCAAUCCUUGCUAAUACAGUCGGGCAACUAAACCGUACACCGGGGACAAAAGUAAGCUCAAUGAUGACACAUAAAGACGUUAGGUCGAGGUGUAACCAGUGGCGUGGGAAGAAGUGGGCUACAUUUUCUACCCAAGAAAAUUUAAUACGAAAGCCAUUAUGAAAUUAAUAGCCAAAGGAGGAUUUAGCAGUAAACUAAGAAUAGAGUGCUUAGUUGAAUCAGGCCAUGAAGCACGC